rnacentral:sRNA from 1 species
UGAGGGGGUCCCUGAGCCCUGUCCUCCUGCAGGAUUCCUACCGGAAGCAGGUGGUCAUUGAUGGGGAGACAUGCCUGUUGGACAUCCUGGACACGGCCGGCCAGGAGGAGUACAGCGCCAUGCGGGAUCAGUACAUGCGCACCGGGGAGGGCUUCCUGUGUGUGUUUGCUAUCAACAACACCAAGUCUUUUGAGGACAUCCACCAGUACAGGGAGCAGAUCAAACGGGUGAAGGACUCGGAUGACGUGCCCAUGGUGCUGGUGGGGAACAAGUGUGACCUGGCUGCACGCACUGUGGAAUCUCGGCAGGCUCAGGACCUCGCCCGAAGCUACGGCAUCCCCUACAUCGAGACCUCGGCCAAGACCCGGCAGGGAGUGGAGGAUGCCUUCUACACGUUGGUGCGUGAGAUCCGGCAGCACAAGCUGCGGAAGCUGAACCCUCCUGAUGAGAGUGGCCCCGGCUGCAUGAGCUGCAAGUGUGUGCUC